rnacentral:rRNA from 1 species
GAUGAACGCUAGCGGCAGGCCUAAUACAUGCAAGUCGAACGGUAAGGCCCUUUCGGGGGUACACGAGUGGCGGACGGGUGCGUAACGCGUAUGCAACAUGCCUUCCAGCGGGGGAUAUACCAGGGAAACUUGGCGCAAUACCCCAUAGAAUUACGGGACCGCAUGGUCUUGUGAUUAAAACUCCGGUGCUGGGAGAUUGGCAUGCGUGACAUUAGCUAGUUGGCGGGGUAACGGCCCACCAAGGCGACGAUGUCUAGCUGGUCUGAGAGGAUGAUCAGCCACACUGGGACUGAGACACGGCCCAGACUCCUACGGGAGGCAGCAGUAGGGAAUAUUGGACAAUGGGGGGAACCCUGAUCCAGCCAUGCCGCGUGAGUGAAGAAGGCCUCGGUU